UUUCAAAAGACAUCAGAAAUUAAAAAAAAAAAAAUCUUAUUCUCUUCUUUAGUUGGGACUCCUACAGAUUCAUACACAUCGGCCAACAGUUUGUUGUGAUCACUGUCUCAUCUGACUCAAAUAAAUCAGCUUGUGUUUCACUUAGUAAUUCCUUUACCAAGCUUAUAACAUACUGCUAAUUAAAAGGUUGUGAUCUGAUAGUGUUUUCACUUAUGCUGAGUUCCAAUGACUUUAAAAGAACUAAUCACACCCACAUUAGAGAUUAAAAUACCACAUUAAUCUUAAAGAGUAACAAUACCAAAAGCAUGAUGAACCUACUGCUGUCACACAUUCUGAGUAAGGAAUCCAUGAGGAUUUUGUGCUGGAGAGAGGGUCUUGGAGGUGAAGACUUGGUUCUUUGCUUCACUCUCCUCUGCAGCCCUCAGUCUGCCUACAGCCCUGUGCAAUGUGGAGUGUGUAGCUUGUAAACUUAGCAUCUUUGUUUUUCUUGCAAAUAAUUUACCAGACAUUGGAGAUGUAUCAUGGUGAGAGAAAGAACGUGGGCUUUUUUCUGGAAAACUAUCAUCCUUCAUCUUCCAGACAGCUUUAAAUAUGUUCUCUUUUCCAACAUUACUGUGUUAAAUGAAAGCCCCAAAAGCAGUUUUCUUACUGAAGGCAGGUGUGCUCACUGGUAAAGCAAAGCCCGCAGCUCCAGUCCAAUUUGUUUCACAAAUAGAGCUCAGGAACCAGCAGGUUCAAGGAGCACCCCAGCUAUCAGCAGUCAAACACUGUAUCCCACAUGCUAAUGUUAAUUUUAAAAACACAGCCCUAAAAUGAAAUUUUUAGAAGGCACAAAGAGUACUGGGAGUGGAAGGAACAGAAAUUUUUGAUGGAGGGAAAUAGCAUUCACACUUUGAUAAGAUCCAAAAAUGCCUUUUCCAAACAGAGGUGCUUUGUAUUACACCAUUCCUGUUGGCUCUUUGGGGGUUUUCCAUUAGAUGUAGGAACUUCUUGCCACAGUAAUAAAGGUCAGGCACUAUUGUGCCUCUUUUAUGAUACUGACUAGCACAAAUCAUGUAUACAAACUCAGGAAGUAUUUAUUUGUGCGGAAUACAUACUUAAAUAGUGGACUACAAAUCAUUUAGAGAUGCCUGUGAUAUGAAUCAUGCCUCAAUUUCAUGGAUAAGUGGAAACAUUAUGCAACUUACUGAGUUUUUAAAGCACUAACGAAUGUGAACUAUACAGCAGACUGGAGCUGGACCUUUUCACCCCUUCUAAUAUAAGCUGUGGCUAUUUAAUAUUCCUCACUAGGGAGUUAUGCUGACCUACAAGUCAGCAAUAUAUUAGGCACCAGAGCCAUGAACCUAGUGAGAACAUAAACUAAACUGAUUUUCAAUUUUGGUACAUUACAAAAAGGACCAUUAUUGUGAGGUUAGAGAUGUCAAAGUUGGUGACCUGGUAUAAUGAAGUAUUCCCUGCCACAUAGUCAUGCAUGAAAAGUAAUUGGAGGCAGUAUAAACUUUUAGAGGCUUAGGACUUUUUCCCUCUUAAAUUAAAUAUUCUUUUCCAUGUAAUUUUUUUUAACUAAAAAUAUACUUUUUUUUGUUAAGCAUCAUAAAAGAAGAAAUGAUGUUCCUGUAAAGUUUGCAGUUGAUGGAGAAAUGUGUGUUUAGGAAUGAGGUCACAUCUUAACGCUUGGGUUACUUCCAUAAGGCACUGAUGAAAAGCAAGUUGCUACCUGCCAGCUAGGAAUGACAUUAAAAUAUUAUGGCAGCAUGUGACCAGCUUUAGAGCUUAAAAUCCUGAAAGGACAAUGUCCCCUUUGAAGAACAUUCCUGAAGAUCACUUUACAGUUUCUGCUAAGCUUUAAAACAAAGAGUAGACUACUUUAUGUCUAAGAAGCAAUGAUUAAAGUUGUACCUUCUUGGCUGCAAUGUUCACAUCUGAAAACCCACCCCUAAAGUGUACACUGGUCUUUCAGCUUGUCCAUCAGACAUGUGUACUAGCACUUUAUCUAGGGAAUGGUCCUUUAAUACUGUGGACCCCAUGCUUCUGGGCUUCAUUUAUGGCUCCACAUCCUGACUUUCUGCACUGGAUUUGACCAACUUACUUCUGAUUUCUUCUGGUACAGCAUCAUGGGAGUGGGCACAGCAUCUCUCCCCAGACUGCAGAGGGCACUCCUAUAUAAGAAGGAAUUGCAGUUUCCAGGCUCAUUUACUUUUUGCCUUGACAAUUCCUUGUAAUUUUUCUCUUUUAAUAAUUAAUGACACUCUUAUUGCACUAAAAGGAAAAUCUUAUUAUUUUUGACAAUUGGUUUUGUUAUGAUUAUUUAAUUUCCCCCUCUCCCCAAGUUUAUACAAUUACAAUGGCUGUCAGUGCUCAUAUCGUGUUCGGGUCAUCAGCUUCAGAAAUUAAACAUACACAGAAGGACAACCUAUUAAUAUGCCAUCCUGAGGCAUGACUUGAGCACAGCAGAACAGGGAAAGCAUAGAUAAGGACAGAGAUGGCUUUUGCCAUGUGCCUGGGAAGCAAGAGAAAUGCUGUCAUCCAUGGAGCAAUACAAAAACCCCUUUCCUCUUGCCCAUCUCCAGGAUGGUCUGUUGGAAGUACUAUUUUGGUGUGGAUUUCGGCUAUGACUGUGAGAACAGAGGCAGUUUCAAACAGUUCCUGAGCUUCAUGGGAUGGUUUCUACCCCCUAAACUUACUGGGAGAUGGGGCUGUACAAACAGGCUACAACACAACGUGGCCAGAGCUCUGCAGUUUGCUACAUAGUGGAAGGAGUAUGUUGGAUGAGGACUCUGAGUAGCAAACAGCUGGGUUAAGGCUGCUGUAAUGCAAACUGCUCUCCAGAGCUGUGAUACUGGGCCACUGAAGCUCUGAGAUGCCCCAAGAUUAGGAAGCACUGUAGUUCAUGACAGCCUCACACACACACAUAUAUACACACACUCCCCCCAUUUUUAUCAGCUACAGGUAAAACCUGCAGUGGCAUCAUUCAGCAACUCAGUCCUAAGGCUGGGUAUCUUAAACCUAAGAGAAGUAACUCUAGAAGUUCAGAUGGAGCCUAUGGAGCUCCUACAUUGCAGCUUAAAAGUCCUUCCAAUGUUUGGCUUUGUUUAAUGAGAACAAGUCCGAUCUAGCCUUGGCUUCUGCAGGGGAUACAGCUCACGUAUCAUCCAGCUGGCAACAGAAGGGUCAUUUCAUUUUCUGUGGGUAGUGGUAAGCGAUCUUCCUUUUCACACUUACUUCUGGAAGCUUGUCACAGGGAAAGUGUAAGACCAGGCUAAUGCUAUGCAAAAGGAUGACUGAGCAAGGAGACUGGGACCUGGCUGUCGGAGCAGCACACACUUCCCUGCUGAGCCUUGAAUCACAUUUAUUUUCAAACAAAAAACCCCACAUUUCAAUUGAGAGAUUUGCUCGGUAAAAUGCAUACAUUUCAUAUUUCCUUACCACAUGCUGUAUAUCUCAUACAGUGGUUACGAAAUGAAGGAGUGUGGAAAGGACAGUUAUUCAGGGGAGCUGUAACCAUAAAGAUUCCAUUGAAUGGGAUUUUCACUUGUUCCAAACUGUUAUCUCACCAGAUAAAAACAUUGUGCUUUAUGAUUAAGCUGAUUGUGUUGGACAAGCCAGUCUGUAGCCAUAGAAGCCUGGAUUUUCAAAUGUGCUGAGCACUGGCAGCUGCAACUAAAGUCAGUGGGGACAUUUAAAGUGCAAAUAAUGCAGAGUUCUUUAAAAAUUCAGGCCAGAGGCUGUCUGUGAAAUGGGAGUAUAGAUGCUACCUUGCCUCACAGGGGUGCUCUGAACAUUUGUGGCACAGCUACGUACACUAGUGGGAAGUUACACUGAGAAGUCCAAUAAAAAAAUGCAUUUCUUUUUUCAGAUCAGGGUUUGAUUAUAAAUGAUAAAAAAGGGCCUCAAGCCACAGACUGAAGAGUGAAGAGGAAACAUAUAUGUAGACUGAAUGGAUAAUAGAUCAUCCCCCUACCUCCCAAUAUAAGUUAAAAAUAGUAUUAGGCACACCACAUGAACUGCAUUAAUGUUGUGUAGGCCUAUCUAAUUCUAGCACUCCCUACAGAAUUCCCCCUAAAGCAGGUGGGUGGUACUUUUUAAAAUAUGUGCAAUACAGUAUAAUAAAUAUGCAUAAAUAAUGUGUAUUUGAGUAAAAAUCUUCAUAGAUAGUCCAGUAAGGGGAAAGGAAGAUGAUUAAGGAACUGAUGCAUCUGACAUGCAAGGGGAGGCUGAAGAGAUGGGACUGCUGAGCCUGGAGGAGGCUCAUGGUGGGAAUCUCAUCAAUGUGUGCAAAGAGGGGGUGUAGAGGAGACAAACUCUUCUCAGUCCUAUCAAUUGAAAGGAAAAGAGGCAAAAGGCACAGACUGAACCACAGGAAAUUCCAUUAAGAAAAUUUAAGUAAAAGACAAUUUUUCUACAAGCUUGAUCCAACACUGGACAAAGUUGCCUGGUGAGAUUGUGGAAAUAUCCCUGGAGAUAUUCAAAAUUUAACUGGAAACAGUCUUAAGCAACCUGUUCCCAUUGACUCUUCAUUUGGCAGGAGGUUGGACCAGACAGCUCCAGAGGUGCUGCCCAAACUCCACAUUGCAAUAAGUGAGGAAAUAUUUUUUUUUAAUUUCUUCUUCAUUCAUUUUCUUUGCAGAAUUAAUAAAUUGAUUAAUUCGCCUUCUGUUUUGGGUUGGGGUUUCUGCUUUUUUCCCUCCUUUAUCAACUUUAUUUUUUCUCAUUUUGAGGAUCCUGCUCUCUAAUUUUAGAGGUUAUUGUAAUCUUCUGGCAGGUCUGCAAAGGUUGAAACCUUUAUUCAUCUGUGCAUGAAGUUUCAGAAUAUUACUGAGUGCCCCACUGAAAAACUGAAAACAAAUAAAAGAUAGGCAUGGAUUGUAGCAGAAACUGAAAUGAAAAUACUCUUCUUAACGUCACUGCAGAAACUGAAUUUAUUUCAAUUUACUUUUCAACUGAAUAGGGAAAGAACUUGUAACAGGUAAAGAUUAAUUUUCCUAUAACUACCUAUAAACUGAAGAACUGACCAAGAAUGAGAGCCGACAUCCUAAUAAUAGUGGUAGGGUGAAAUUAUUGUAUAAGAACAGAAAUUUGUAAUUUAAAUCUUUUGGGGGAGUGGUUUUAAGAAAAUGGAAAUACCAAAGUUGAAUACCCAUGAAAACCAUAAUUAAAAUUAUCAGUAAAUACUGCCCUGCAGCCUGCUGUUACAGCUGAGACAGUUUUGCAAUGUCUUGGAUGCCAUGAAAGUGAUUUAUAUGCUUCUCUUCCUAAAUGUUAGGGAAAACUAUAUUCUGUUGACUUAACAUAUUUCCUGCUUUCCAUGAAUGAUUGUGACUGACCUGUUGAUUUAAUAUUCUUUUUAGCUAGGUUUUCAAAGUAGUGUUUGAUCAUGUAAUGACUGGCAUGACGUAAACUCAGCAGAGUACCUUGCCAGAGUGAUGGCAACACAAAUACUGCUGCAUAAAGGAUGGAAAUACAGCAAACCAUUUAAAUGAUUAACACAUUUUCUGUUACACAGGCUGGAAGAAAAUUACAUAAUGAUUCACAAUGUUUUGUUAUUGUUACAGUUACUUGUAUUUCGAUUGUGGUAACAUUCAAAGAUUGUUCAACUUAGCUGCAAAAAAAACCCUAUCAAAAUCCAUAAAAACUCACAGGCAAGCAGAGACAACAUUGUGUUACACUACACACAUUAGUUGUGGAAGAUCUUUAAAUCAGACAUCAGGUUUUGUCCUUUCAAAAUUUCUUUGUUUCUCCUCCUUAACAUUAGUUUUUUAACUAUUUGUUCCAGUUGGCCUGCACAGGUAUUUCUUGCUGUGUUGUUUGUUUUUUUUCUCUUGUAGUACUCUGAAAAAUUCAACUGUCUGGUAUAUUUAUAUCAUGUGAGCAUUUAAUGAAUGUUAUUAGAUCAUCUUUUUGCUCAUCCAAAAUUCUAAGCAGAAUGUCUCUUCUGUGCCUUACCUGCCUCAUUUCAACAAUGCCCCAAGCACUGAAUUUUUCACAGUGGUAUCCAGGCUGAUUUCCAGACAGACCAAUUUAUGUAUGGUUAAUGGUUGGCCUCAAUAUUAGAGGCCUUUUCCAAUCAUGAUUCCAUGGCUCUAUGCUGACUGGAAUCCCUCACAACAUUACUAUGCCUGUUGACCAGAUUAUUAUCUGUUGAAUAAGAUGAGAAUGAAUAAAAGCAAGGACUUCUUUAACUGCCUUGAAGGUGGAAAACAAAAUCAGGCACUGGCAGUGGAAAGAAGACAUCCCUUAGGCCCCAACAGAAAGACUCAGAAACUUGAACCAGCAUUUUCUUGCUCUGAAGAAAUCCACUGACGAGUGUUCUAAACUUCACUUUUCUGAAUUUUCUUAGCAACAGCAAGGAUUAUUAAUUUUAGUUAAAGACUUUUUCAGAAACAAAGACUUGUAGGAGUCACUGAGGUGUUUGUCUGACUCCUUUCUGCGCCAUGCUUGGCAACCCAAAACAGGGUAAAAAUGGCCAGUUUAGAAACAACAGCUGAAAGACCCAAAAGACAGUUUCCAUCAAACAUUAGUUGUUUUUAUGUUCAGCUGGGAGUGUUUGAGCUAUUUAUGUAGUCCAGAUAGAGAAAUUAACAUUUCUGAAUAAUUUUAGAACAAAAUAUGAGUGGGACCAUGCUGAGUAUACCAUAUUCUUAUAUAAAAAUAUUUUCCAUUAUAUUUUGUGGGACAUUCUUAACCCAAAGGUUUCAUGAAAAAAUGUAGAGCAUUGUUGCAACAAUAUAGAGGGAAAUAGCACAUAGCAGAAUGACACUUGCUUGCCAUAGAGUAUGGAUUAAAAUGUAGUCAAUGCCUUUGCUUGAUUCUAACUUGAAUGAAGGUAUGGUAAUACUACAGGAUUUAUACUGCAGGUAAAACUGUGUCAAAUAUUUCUGUCUCUUUUCUUACUGCUUUUUAAAUUCACGUGAGUUAUAGCCAGAAUGCUAAAACUAAGAGGUAGAGCAUGAAGAACAUAUCUCUGUCAAAAAUAUUUAUUUAUCCAGGUGGCACAUUUAUUUAUCCAGGGGGACACAAAGAUAAAAAUAUUUUCAUCAACAUCAUCAUUUGUACUGCAAACAUGUUGGGUGCAAUGGCUGGAGGAGGGAUCUUGGGCGCUGUGAAAUCACAUAAUAGAAAGUAGCUCUUGUUCUAAAGUUUAUGCUUAAAGUUCAUACAUCAGACAGCAAGGAGAUGGAGCAGGAACUCCUGGGUGUGACUGGAAAGUGAGGCAUUAGAGGCUGAGUACCUGGCUCAGUAUAGCUCAGAAAGCUAUAGCAGCUGCAGGAGCUGCUCUCCCCUAAAUCUCAGCCAGCUCUUCAAUAGUGGUCUCAAGUAAAAAGGAGAAUUAGAAGACAAAUAAAUUGACUAACUUUUAAUCUUCCUUCCAUGACAGCUUUAACUGCUUCAAUUUUAAGUUCAGAUGAAGGUUGAGUCUUGUCUUAUUUUAUCUAAAUGAGUUCAUCUGUCUCCUAUCAUGGCUUUACUUUGUUACGCACUUUAGCCUUCUGCUCUUUUUCAUGUGAGGUAGUAAAUACUGGUUCUUUUCAGCAGCUAAAAUGUCAGAACACGAUCAUUUUGCAUGUGCUAGAUAAAAUCUGUGAAAUGCUGGAUUUCUUUUCCAGUGACCUCUGGAAUGAAAUCACAGUUGUUAGGGCUAAAGGACUGGCAGUGACAUCCAGGGUCAACAAACCCAGUGCAGAGAGUUCAGUCCAGCAUCACAUUUAUGAUCUCUCUCACAUGCCCACAGACUGUUGAAGGUCUUUUGCUUUGUUGGUUCUUUUAAAAAGUUUGACCACUUCACUGCAAGCAGACACUAGAUUAGGAAACAAAUUAUUGCUCUUUGUUGGAUACUGAAGCCGGCAUCCUCAAAUAGAAAAGAGCUUACGGGAACAGUCAUAUUUUAUGUAGGUGAUCUGGUGGGGGGUAUUGUUGCUGGAUUCUGCCUCACACAUUAGUGGGUGUGGUGAGUUCCUGACUCCAUUAUUACUCAUCUCAGGGAUGCUGCCCACCUUAUCUUUCUGUAUUUCAGUUUCCCCACUUAUCCCUAGGGAUAAGAAAUGUGGAAUGCCUACAGAUCUGCUGGUGAACAGCUUUAUGUAAGAGCUGCAUUCAGUCUGAGGCAGGCCAGAGCAAUCCAGGCAUUUUUCAACUUCUGUUAUUUACUCCAAAAUUUGAUGUGACUCCCAAAAAUAACCGGAGACAGACUACAGGGAUAGCUGUCAUUAUUAUCUGACCAGCUGUGCCACCUGCAAACUUUUAAGCAAGUAAAGAGGCAUACAUGAAGUCAUGACUUUGUGUCACCUAACAGUUCAUCUUGUGCAACACAGCAGAGCCUCACGAGGCACAAAACAAGAAACAGGACACACAGUUGUGUGUGAUAAAAUGCUCUGCUGAGAGUACUUUACCACCCUUGGGAUGUGCACCCUGCAAAAUGCAGCAGAGGGUCGGAGAGUGGAGGUAUCAUUUUGACAUUCGCAGAAUGCUCUGGGAGCCUGCAGCACCUCGUCUCCCACUGAGCCUCAGUGCCACCACGUACUGAUUGGAAAUUAAGAUCACAUGUGAGUUUUCACAGGUAUAAACCUUGCAUGCACAUCCUGGGGGGGCCCUUCCAACUGGCAGUCAUCCUUGGACCAUUUUGGCUGGGUCUAUAUUGUGCUCCAAAAUCACUCCUGGAGGCUCUCUUUCUGAGAGCAGUGCAGCUUGGAGCUCUUCAUCAGUGCAGGCUUUCAGAGAGCUCCUGAGUACCAAUGGCCUUCACAUUCUCACCACCCUUUGGCACAAGUGGGGAAGAGUCCCUUAAAAGGCUUUUUAACAGUCCAGGCUACUGACUUUGAUUGCUUCACAAGAUCUUCAUUGCAAGGGCAAACCCCAAAUUUUAAGCAGGGGAGAGCUUAAAACAUGAAUGACUUUCUCAUGCUGGGUGUAUAAGAAAUCCCUAUAUCACAUUUUUUUCCACCCUUUCUUAGCUCAAGAGCCUGCCCUCAGAGUACAAAGCCUUGGUCAAGCCAGCUUUGUGAAGACAAAAAAAACCAGGCACUUAGGAUCUCAAAGUGUAUAGAUCUGUACUGUGUUAUGACAAGCCCAUUCUAUGUAUUGAAUAAAUCUAAUUUCCUGAUAAAUCAAGCAAAAUUAAAUGAAAAAUACUUUAUCAGUUUUUGUCUUUAAUUGAAUUGAAUUUUAAAGAUGCUUCAAUUUUCAGAAUCAUGCACCACCAUUUUAAUAGCACUGGACACACUGUUAGCUGAAAGACCCAGAUUUUUGGAUUAUUUUGGUAUUUUCAGUGGUCACUAAAAGUGAAAAGUAAUUUCCUGGAUAAUAAGUGCAUCAAGCAAUGCAUGUUUUUCCUCAACCUGUUAAAAUUAUAACAGGGCAGUUCCCUUCUUUGGGGUUGCUGCUCUGCUCCAGGUUUUUAUCUCUUCAUGCAUAUCUGUAUAAUCUAGAGUCAAACUUUGAGCAAUCAGUACCACCAGGACAGUGUUUUUAAUGAGAAGAGCAGUUAAAUAAAUGGAAUGUCAUUAAGACAUACGACUGUUUUGGAGAUGAUGGCAAGAGUGUAACAGAAAGUUAGUUUAAAAUAUUGCUUGCUACACUUUUAUUUUUAACGCAUAUGAAAUUAUAGAAACAAAGCACUUCAACUAGCUGAAGAAAUAGAAACUUUUUGCACACACAGUUUCAAAUCCCAGUUGUAUUUCAGCCUCCUGUGUCUCUUGGACUGUAAAAGAGGGAUCUGGACAGUCUCUCAAUGUCCCUGACUCAUAAAUC